rnacentral:lncRNA from 1 species
CUACCAACAAAAGGGGUGUCAUUCAACAGAUGAUUCAAUCGCGUCUUCGUCAUCAGCUCCUCCUCCUCCAACUCAACAAUCUGCUUCCCUCAAUGAGCCUUUCUUUAACAUAUCAUACAAGUCAGUGAGUUUAAGUACUCAGUUGCUAUAUGGAGGCCAAGAAUCAGAGUUAGAGUCUAAAAUGAAGGAAAGGAUCAUGAAAUACAUGAAUAUUUCUAAGUAUGAUUAUUCUACGGUUUUCACAGCAAACCAAUCUUCUGCUUUUAAGCUUUUGGCUGACUCCUAUCCUUUUGAGUCUAGUCACAACCUUGUUACUACUUAUGAUUAUGAAAAUGAAGCCGUUGAAGGAAUGAUAGAUAGCGCGAAGAGGAAAGGUGCUCGUGUAGUAUCAGCUGAAUUCUCAUGGCCUAAUUUGAGAGUCAACUCAAGAAAAUUGAGAAAGAUGUUAGUUGUCAAGAAAAAUGCUAAACAUAAAAGGGGUUUGUUUGUGUUUCCUCUUCAGUCUAAUGUAACAGGCACAAGAUAUUCUUAUCAAUGGAUGAAUAUUGCACAAGAAAAAGGUUGGCAUGUUUUGUUUGAUGCAUCUGCAUUAGGUCCUAAGGAAAUGGAAACUUUAGGCCUCUCAAUAUUUCAGCCUGAUUUUCUCAUUUGCUCUUUUUACAAAGUAUUUGGUGAAAAUCCAUCUGGUUUUUGUUGUCUGUUUGUGAAAAAUUCAAGCAUAUCAGGGCUCAACAAAUCAUCCUCAAGCUUUGGAAUUAUUAAUCUUGUUCCAGCAACAAAACCAUUUGAUAAAAAUGCUUCUUUUUCUUCAUCAGAAUCAGUUCAAGAAGUGAGCCAAGAAAACUCUACUGAAUUUCAAGAAGUCAAACAAGUGUCAGAAGAACCAAAGCCAAUACUCACAUUGUUCAAAAUAUUAAACUGGGGUAUGAAAUCCAACAAUAACAAAUACAAAAAGGUAGAAUCGAAGACGAGUAUGAGUUCUGAUGAGCUAGAAUGUAGAGGCUUGGAUCAUGCUGAUAAACUAGGCCUGGUUUUAAUCAGUAGCAGAGCAAGAUACCUUGUAAACUGGCUGAUAAACGCGUUAACGCAUCUUCAACAUCCUCAUGCUGGAGAUAUUCAUCCUCCUUUAGUGAAAUUCUAUGGACCAAAGAUAAGUUUCAACAGAGGACUAGCUGUGGCAUUCAAUG